UACAGAGGGUGCGAGCGUUAAUCGGAAUUACUGGGCGUAAAGCGUGCGCAGGCGGUUCGCCAAGUCAGGUGUGAAAUCCCCGGGCUUAACCUGGGAAUUGCGCUUGAAACUAGCGGGCUUGAGUGUGGCAGAGGGGGGGUGGGAAUUCCACGUGUAGCAGUGAAAUGCGUAGAGAUGUGGAGGAACACCGAUGGCGAAGGCAGCCCCCUGGGUCAACACUGACGCUCAUGCACGAAAGCGUGGGGAGCAAACAGG
rnacentral:rRNA from 1 species